UAUCGCAUUUCGCUGCGUUCUUCAUCGAUGCCAGAACCAAGAGAUCCGUUGUUGAAAGUUUUAACUAUUGUAUGGUACUCGGACGGCAAAAAAUUC
rnacentral:rRNA from 1 species